AACGAACGCUGGCGGCAGGCUUAACACAUGCAAGUCGAACGCAUCCUUCGGGGUGAGUGGCAGACGGGUGAGUAACGCGUGGGAACGUGCCCUUCAGUUCGGGAUAACCCAGGGAAACUUGGGCUAAUACCGGAUACGUGCGAGAGCAGAAAGAUUUAUCGCUGAAGGAUCGGCCCGCGUCUGAUUAGCUAGUUGGUGGGGUAAUGGCCCACCAAGGCGACGAUCCGUAGCUGGUCUGAGAGGAUGAUCAGCCACAUGGGGACUGAUACACGGCCCAAACUCCUACGGGAGGCGGCAGUGGGGAAUAUUGGACAAUGGGGGAAGGCCUGAUCCAGCAAUGCGGGGUGAGUGAUAAAGGCCUUAGGGUUGAAAAGCUCUUUCGUCCGGGACGAUAAGGACGGUACCGGAAGAAGAAGCCCCGGCUAACUUCGUGCCAGCCGCCCGGUAA
rnacentral:rRNA from 1 species